rnacentral:lncRNA from 1 species
CUUAAAGUGCAUAACCCAUUGACCCAUCUUAAAGAAUGGAUGUCAGGGAGCUGAGAUAGGAAAAGUUCAAAAGCCCCAAAGAAAAUAAUAAAAUGUUGCAACGUGAGUGUGCCAUGCUUGUGAUAAUGCUUGUAAACCGCCUGCAAAUGAUAGAGCACUAACUUAUUGCCUUAAUUGAUAUGAUUCCUUGAAGGAAAUGAGGGCCAGAUUGACUGACCUUGAGGCUGCUUCCAGCAGCGAUUUGAAUGGCGAUGUUAUUUCCUAUUGAAGCCACCUGCUGAAAAAAUGCAAUAGACCAGUAACCCCAGA